rnacentral:lncRNA from 1 species
UUGCAACCUAUUUAAAGGAUCACGUGCAUAGUAAGAAGGAACAAAUCUAGCUUGCAUGACCCGUUUCAAAGCAUCCCAUGUUUGUGGCAUGUUAUUAGGAUUUUUCUUGCCAUCUUCUAUCCACCAAACAGAAGCAAAAUCAGUGAACUCACUAGUAGCAGCCCUAACACGUGUAUUUUCAGGAAACUCAUGACAUGCAAACUUUUGAUCAACAGCAAUUUCCCAAGUAAUAUACGCAUCAGGGUCAUAUUUACCAUCAAAAGGAGGUAUAUUAAAUUUUAUCUUACUGAAAGCAUCAUCAUUAUUAUGUACCUCGCGUCGUCCGUAACCCCCCAUACCUCUGCGAUUAUUGCG